rnacentral:rRNA from 1 species
GUCGAGCGAGCUUGCCUAGAUGAUUUUAGUGCUUGCACUAAAUGAAACUAGAUACAAGCGAGCGGCGGACGGGUGAGUAACACGUGGGUAACCUGCCCAAGAGACUGGGAUAACACCUGGAAACAGAUGCUAAUACCGGAUAACAACACUAGACGCAUGUCUAGAGUUUGAAAGAUGGUUCUGCUAUCACUCUUGGAUGGACCUGCGGUGCAUUAGCUAGUUGGUAAGGUAACGGCUUACCAAGGCAAUGAUGCAUAGCCGAGUUGAGAGACUGAUCGGCCACAUUGGGACUGAGACACGGCCCAAACUCCUACGGGAGGCAGCAGUAGGGAAUCUUCCACAAUGGACGAAAGUCUGAUGGAGCAACGCCGCGUGAGUGAAGAAGGGUUUCGGCUCGUAAAGCUCUGUUGGUAGUGAAGAAAGAUAGAGGUAGUAACUGGCCUUUAUUUGACGGUAAUUACUUAGAAAGUCACGGCUAACUACGUGCCAGCAGCCGCGGUAAUACGUAGGUGGCAAGCGUUGUCCGGAUUUAUUGGGCGUAAAGCGAGUGCAGGCGGUUCAAUAAGUCUGAUGUGAAAGCCUUCGGCUCAACCGGAGAAUUGCAUCAGAAACUGUUGAACUUGAGUGCAGAAGAGGAGAGUGGAACUCCAUGUGUAGCGGUGGAAUGCGUAGAUAUAUGGAAGAACACCAGUGGCGAAGGCGGCUCUCUGGUCUGCAACUGACGCUGAGGCUCGAAAAGCAUGGGUAGCGAACAGGAUUAGAUACCCUGGUAGUCCAUGC